UACGGGGGGGGCAAGCGUUGUUCGGAAUUACUGGGCGUAAAGGGCUCGUAGGCGGCCAACUAAGUUCGGUGUGAAAUCUCCCGGCUUAACUGGGAGGGUGCGCCGGAAACUGGAGUGCUCGAGCGUGGGAGAGGAAAGCGGAAUUCCUGGUGUAGCGGUGAAAUGCGCAGAUAUCAGGAGGAACACCGGUGGCGAAGGCGGGUCUCUGGGCCGUAACUGACGCUGAGGAGCGAAAGCAUGGGGAGCGAACAGG
rnacentral:rRNA from 1 species